rnacentral:rRNA from 1 species
ACCUCAGUUCGGAUUGAAGGCUGAAAUUCGCCUUCAUGAAGUCGGAAUUGCUAGUAAUGGCAGGUCAGCAUACUGCCGUGAAUACGUUCCCGGGCCUUGUACACACCGCCCGUCACACCAUGAGAGUCGGGAACACCCGAAGUCCGUAGCCUAACCGCAAGGGGGCGCGGCCGAAGGUGGGUUCGAUAAUUGGGGUGAAGUCGUAACAAGGUACC